GUACAGUCUUUUGUAAGAUCGUGUGAACGCUGCUCUUUUUACACACUUACAGAUUGAUUUUAUUUAUGUAUCCAAAAUUGGUAAGAAACAGCAAUACUUACUGGUCAUAGUUAAUCAGUUUAGUAGAUGGCAUGAGGCCUUUGUGACAUCUAGGGAAGAUGCUAGUGAAGAUUAUUGUUACUGAAAUUAUUCCCCGGUAUUGCUGCCCUCUGCAGAUUGGCUCUGAUAAUGGCCCGGUUUUUGCAAGUAGGGUUGCCCAGGAACUUGCUAAAUUCUUGCAAGUUACCUGGCAGUUUCAUAUACCCUAUCAUCCACAGAAUACAGGGGUAGUUGAAAGGAUGAAUAGGACUAUUAAGGAAAAGCCCAGAAUUUACCCAGGAACAUGGGUAAAUUGGACUAGAUAUCUACCAGCUAUUUUAGCUGAGAUAAGAAUGAAU